CUAUUAUUAAAGUAUUUUUUUGAAGGUUGAAUCCAGAGAAACAUAAUAUACCAGUAAAAUUGAGCCGCCGAGACUCCUAAAGGAAUGCCCCCUUGGAUUUUAACACAUUGCCUCACGUGCUUGUCUCCUACCUUUACCCUGUUUUACAAGAAAAAUAAAGAAGAAAGAAGAUAUGUUUACUGUUUUGUCCAAAAGUUGCAGAAUAUUAAGAAGGCACUGGCAAGAAACUUGUGGGAAUGGACAUUUCCUGGAGAUUCAGGAUUCGGGGAUCAGAAGCCCUACAACAAAAAAUAAUUAUUCACAUGGGACAACAGAAGAAAACCCAGGCAGGAAAGAAAAAUUCCGUGGAGCCUAAUCGAACGUGGAAACUGGAAACCUGAGUGACCCCUAUUCAGAAAAAGAUAGAACGCCCUUUCGUGGUGAGGGUUUCAGGACAGAAGCGGCUUUGUGAAGAAUUUUGGAAUAGAUGGCAGUGCAGAUGACGUAGCUGGCCUGGCAAUGGUGGCCCUUUUCAUUCCUGGAGCAUGAUUCACUCUGAUCUUCUCCAGACGGAACAGCACUCCAGUAAGACUGUCCCUUGAAUCUUCCAACCUGCCCCCUAGCCCCCAAACUCAGGAGCCGUGUGGAUCUAAGUCUGUUUUUUUUCUUUUAAGUACGCAUUUCCAAAUACGACAUAAAGUGUCUCGCAAAAACACUGAACAAAAACAAAAUAUAAUAGGGAUUGUAGGUGAUUUUAUUUCUUUUCUUUUGAAAAAUUAUUUAAAUAUUUC
rnacentral:lncRNA from 1 species